rnacentral:rRNA from 1 species
UGGGGAAUAUCGCACAAUGGGCGCAAGCCUGAUGCAGCCAUGCCGCGUGUGUGAAGAAGGCCUUCGGGUUGUAAAGCACUUUCAGCGAGGAGGAAGGGUAGUGUGUUAAUAGCACAUUGCAUUGACGUUACUCGCAGAAGAAGCACCGGCUAACUCCGUGCCAGCAGCCGCGGUAAUACGGAGGGUGCAAGCGUUAAUCGGAAUUACUGGGCGUAAAGCGCACGCAGGCGGUUUGUUAAGUCAGAUGUGAAAUCCCCGCGCUUAACGUGGGAACUGCAUUUGAAACUGGCAAGCUAGAGUCUUGUAGAGGGGGGUAGAAUUCCAGGUGUAGCGGUGAAAUGCGUAGAGAUCUGGAGGAAUACCGGUGGCGAAGGCGGCCCCCUGGACAAAGACUGACGCUCAGGUGCGAAAGCGUGGGGAGCAAACA